AGCCUCCACCAGGCUGCUCUCUCAGAAGGAGUUGAGAACAGAGAGGGAAGAGGCUCAGCUGAUGCUGUGAAGGUACUUUAAGGGCACAGGCAGAUCAGAGCCAGACUUCUGAAUGGGGAAACUGGGAAAUUGCCAGUAACCUGUACUGGGACUUCAGGCACGUUCCUGUCCAAGAACUGCCGGGGACUCCAUUUCUUCGUGGGAAACUGCUUGCUCGAGUCACUGAUUGCCAAAUCCACUGCCAUCUUCCCAGCCUUCUCCCGUUUCUUCCUCUGCAGCAGGAAUUGACAGAGCCACAAAAUGGACUCUGGGUCCCUGAAUGACAUUAUGGAAAGUCACCCACCAAAUGCCAGGAUUGGACUGUUACGUAAGCAAGGAAAAAACUUCUCUUGAGUUAUACCCCUGAGAGUUUGGGGUUGUUUGGGGUAACAAAACAGUUUGUUUUGUUACAGCAGUUAG